CUCCGGCCGCAUCCUCCACCGCUUUUGCUAGGUGGAGGCCGAUUCGCCAACUCAGACUGCAAUGAGCCGUGCUGGGGCCCAGGACAUCUUCCAGGUUUCCUCGCCUCUCCCAGGAGUCACACUGCCUUCUGCUGACACACGCUUCCUUUGUGUUAUGCCUGGCUAAUAUAUUAAUGGGGCGGAUAACCCAGAUCCUUGGAGUAGGGGGGGAGGAGGAGGCUGUAGAUGGAGAGGGAGAAGGGAAUGACACAGCUUUCUGGCUGCUGACCCUCGAGCCAAAGAGCUCAGAGGCGGGGCAGGACGGGGGUAGCGAAUCGAGGUAGGGAAAUUUCACCAUGAGGACGCCCAAAGUUAACUUAAACACCUGCAACAAGUUUUAAAGAAAGGUGACCUGAUGCUAAUGUGCCGUCGUGUGCUCAGAGCUGCGAGGCCAGAGCCGGCGACAGCCCAGGACCCGGCCCCUCCGCCGAGCGGCCGCGCGCCCGCGGCUGUCUCCGCCUCCCACCCCACCCCCGGCCGAGCGCCGCCGCCAGAGUCCCAGGUGAGCGUUCCAGCUCCGAGUCCUAGCAGUGCCCCUUGAGUCCUACCUAGUCCUCAAGCUCUAGCCAAGUCCGCCACCUUAGAUACUGGGUCCCAGUGGUUAAAAAUAAAGAAUUCACUCAGCCCGGCAACCUGCCCUCGGAGAGACCCCGGCCUCCCCCCAACCCCAGCGGGCAGUCUGGCCUCCCGGUGGAGGUUUGGGCCGAUCAGCCUUGGCGGGCACCCUGCGCUCCGCCAAGGGGUGUGAAGAGGCCUGGGGCCUGGGGUCCCGAUGCUGGGUGAGGACCUGGUCGCCCGUCCCGGCCUCUCGGCGGAGCGCCCUCCCCGCCGGGCCUGCGGCCUCGCCUGCCAGACGGUGCCAGGGCGCCCGGAGACAUAUGCUGCCCGCAGGCCGCGCGGCCCGACGUGCUGCUCAUUGCCGAGGCGGUUCUCAGAGCAUCAAAAGCCAGGGCUUUCUUCAGCCGUAUGGGCCGCGAGCCAUCUCCCGAGGGCGGCCCCCGCGGGCUGGGUGUUUACUCGCCUGACUCCCAGCCUUCAGCUUCGAGGCAGGCCCCGAAGUGCCCGCGCGAGGGCCAGUAAGGCCGCCCUGCGCCCCCGGCUGAGCACGCUGGGCUCUAGACACCUCGACCGCGCCGCCCAAUGUGCCCUGGGCUUGGAGCCAGCUUCACUCUCAACCUAGCUCCGGGAAUCAAUCACGACUUCCUCAACCUUGAAGCAAUCCACUGUUGACCAUCAGAGAAUCAGACAUGCCAUGGGAGGUAUAUAGAGAGAUCUGGAGAGAUAUCUAGACAUGUUUACACUAAUGGAUUUUCUGACUUAGAGGAGCUUCUACCAGACCUUCCCAUCUAGAGAAUGUUCUCAAAGCAAGAAAGCAACCAAUUGUGUGAUCUGCUGAUUUGGGAGCAGCAUCCUGAAUAUAACUUGCAUUAAACCACAUAUUUACCUUUGUGAAGUCUUUACAGUUUUCAUUUGCCUCAAAAAGGAUGUAAA